GUUUGGAACAGCAGUUUUCAGUCACGCCAAAUAAUCGGCAGUGGGCUACCCAAAGGAACCAAAGGGAUUGAUCCCAUCCCUGAGGUUCCUUUUUUGGUGUUGGUCCCACUUCCUUUGCCGGUACCUUUAGAUCCAAAAACACCAUGAGCUCCGGUCAGCGAAAGCGCCCUGGAGAGGCGCUGGAUUCUACCCCAGCUCAGAAACGGAGCAGGCUGCUGCCCUCCAGAGCUGGUGGAACCUUGGAGACAGAGCCAAGAGAGGCUGAAGUCAUAGAUCUCACAGGAGAUUCUCCAGAGCCUGAAGUCAUCACCAUCAGCGAUGAUGAAUCUCCUGUGCAGAGCCCACAGCAGCCACAUCUUUCCAGGGCCUCGGAGAAUUCACCUGAGCCACUGGAAAGGAACGAUGGAGAGGAACCAAGAGAAGAUGAUGGUGAUUGGCUGCUGUUUGAAUUUGAUCCUCCCUAUUGGUCAGAUGAGGACUCCCAGUACAGAGAGCAGAACCAGCAGCACUCUCAGCUUUCCAGAUUAGCUGAGAAUUCAGCUGGGCCCCUGACAACUCCUGAUGAAGAGGAACCAAGAGUUAAUGAUGGGGCACAGCCAGCAGAUCCUGCUAGUCCUCUGACUACGGAGGAUGACAACUCAGAGGAGCAGGACAGGGAGCUGAGACAGCUGCACUCACAGGAUUCCAGGGAGGCAGAGAAUUCAGCUGAGCUCUGGCCAAGAGAUGAUGAGGAGGAAUCACGAGACAAUGAUGAUGCAUGGACAGCAAGUCUCAUCAGUCCUCCAAGUCCUGAGGAUGACAACACAGAGGACUGGGAGGAGAGCCAGCAGUAUCCAUCUGAUUCCAGAUCAGAUGAGAAUUCAAACCAAGGACUGGCGAGCAGACUUCAACAGGAGCCAAGAGAUCUAGAAUUUGCACCGCCAGGAGGUCCCAUUAGUCCCCCGAAUUGGGAGGAUGACAACGCAGAGGUGAGGACCCACAUGUUGUUGUCAUUUCUGAUUUGUGGGAGGGGAAGGGAUAAAGAAGUGCUGCACAACUCACUUGUCUUAGGUGGGUGCCACGGGCAGCUGGCUGGAAGCACAGCCCUUGCUGGGAAGCUCCAAGUUGCCCAUUCCUGGAAGUCCCUCCUUGCUGGUGUCCAUAGAGGGAGGAGCCCUUGCCAGGUUGGACCUGGCAGACCCAUGUGUUUUUUACAGUUCUAG
rnacentral:lncRNA from 1 species